AAAGAGGAUGCCUUGAUUUUCUCCCAGUUCAGCGUCUCGUGCAUGGCAACGAUCCCUGUAGCAACUCCUGAUAUCAAAUGACUGCUGGAACCCUUCUCUUGCAAACAACAGAUGUGGUGUCAAGCUGCUUGUCACGAAGGCUCACCGUGGUGACCUCGACAAUGCAUCCAAAGGACGUUGGAGAAGUAAGGCUGGAGUUGGCGCUCCAGGAGGCCUUCCUUUGCGUCUCGGGAUUAGUUUCUCCUUGUUCCUGUACGUGCUUUGUUGUGGAGAUAUAGACAGCGGUGACACCACGUCCUCCUCAGCAAGGCCGCUCUGCUGCAGCAGGCCGCGGAGAACUUCGGCCCUGUCCUUGCUCGGA